UACGUAGGCAGCAAGCGUUGUUCGGAAUUACUGGGCGUAAAGAGUGUGUAGGCGGUGCUCUAAGUUCGUUGUGAAAUCUCCCGGCUUAACUGGGAGGGUGCGGCGGAAACUGGAGUGCUCGAGCGCGGGAGAGGAAAGCGGAAUUCCUGGUGUAGCGGUGAAAUGCGUAGAUAUCAGGAGGAACACCUGUGGUGUAGACAGCUUUCUGGACCGUAGCUGACGCUGAGACACGAAAGCGUGGGUAGCAAACAGGAUUAGAUACCCUGGUAGUCCACGCCCUAAACGAUGCAUACUUGGUGUCGGCCAUUCAGUUGGCCGGUGCCGGAGCUAACGCGUUAAGUAUGCCGCCUGGGGAGUACGGUCGCAAGGCUGAAACUCAAAG
rnacentral:rRNA from 1 species